rnacentral:rRNA from 1 species
UUUCCGCUUGAUCCUGCCGGACCCGACUGCUAUCAGAGUGGGACUAAGCCAUGCGAGUCAACGCAGCAAUGCGUGGCAUACGGCUCAGUAACACGUAGUCAACAUGCCCAGGGGACGUGGAUAACCUCGGGAAACUGAGGAUAAACCGCGAUAGGCCAAGAUUUCUGGAAUGGAUCAUGGCUGAAAUCUAUAUGGCCCCUGGAUUGGACUGCGGCCGAUCAGGCUGUUGGUGAGGUAAUGGCCCACCAAACCUGUAACCGGUACGGGCUUUGAGAGAAGGAGCCCGGAGAUGGGCACUGAGACAAGGGCCCAGGCCCUAUGGGGCGCAGCAGGCGCGAAACCUCUGCAAUAGGCGAAAGCCUGACAGGGUUACUCUGAGUGAUGCCCGCUAAGGGUAUCUUUUGGCACCUCUAAAAAUGGUGCAGAAUAAGGGGUGGGCAAGUCUGGUGUCAGCCGCCGCGGUAAUACCAGCACCCCGAGUGGUCGGGACGAUUAUUGGGCCUAAAGCAUCCGUAGCUUGUCCUGCAAGUCUUCCGUUAAAUCCACCUGCUCAACAGAUGGGCUGCGGGAGAUACUACAGGGCUAGGAGGCGGGAGAGGCAAACGGUACUCAGUGGGUAGGGGUAAAAUCCUCUGAUCCACUGAAGACCACCAGUGGCGAAGGCGGUUUGCCAGAACGCGCUCGACGGUGAGGGAUGAAAGCUGGGGGAGCAAACCGGAUUAGAUACCCGGGUAGUCCCAGCUGUAAACGAUGCAGACUCGGUGAUGGGUUGGCUUCGGGCCAACCCAGUGCCGCAGGGAAGCCGUUAAGUCUGCCGCCUGGGGAGUACGGUCGCAAGACUGAAACUUAAAGGAAUUGGCGGGGGAGCACCACAAGGGGUGAAGCCUGCGGUUCAAUUGGAUUCAACGCCG